rnacentral:lncRNA from 1 species
AUGGGUGAAGAGCCCUCGUUGUUCUGUACAAUGAAAGGAAAAACAGACAACCAGUUCUUUCCAGGUUUUCUUUCUCAACACUCGAUGAUCAAGAAUUCAUUCUUCAGACACGCCCGUGUACUGAUACAUGCACCCGCAAACGAUGAUGACCAAAGACAACAUACGCACGACCCUCCUGAAUUCUGCCCCAUCUGCUCCACUGUGUUGCUUUUGCCCACAACUGUCUGGAAAUGAUUAUAGAAGAUUAGUCUUGCAUAAGAAGUGGAAGAGGAGACUCGCUGAAUGGGGCUCAGUGCGUUGACCCUUCUGCAACACUCGUCCCAAAUACUUGUGUUAUUAUGUGCGAUUGGUGCUCGUGAGGAAUUAGCAGCUAGCUUGUUUGCGGUGCAUGUGUGUUGUUGUAAGUACUGCACGUUGUGCUACAGUAAGGCAAACAUGUAACUGACUUCAUGGCUGCGCCGUUCAGAUAACACAAACACAAUUAAUUCAGUGUAGGGAAAUGCAAAACAAACUCAGCCGGGCAAUUUUCUGUUCAUCUACAAAAAGCAAAAAAAAAAAAAAAAAAGAAACAAAAAUAUCAGCUACAACUCAAAUCUUUCAUCGUCUGCUACUUUAAUAUUGUUUUCUGAGCAAAUAUGGGUGUUUGUGUAGCAGAACAGCCUGUAAACGGCUUCUUUAAUAAUGGGAAACAACAGAAUAACUGCAGCCUCAUUAAUCUCUGUACAACACAUACACACACACACAUACAGAGGUUAUUACAUCAACACCUAUAUCUUCUCUUAAAGUAAACCUAAUCUAGUUUUACACCCCCCCUCACACACACACACAUCCACCGAGAGGCCACUGUUGCUAAUGUUCCCCCACUUAGACUGUUUUCACGGGACCGUAAUAGAUGAGUCCAUUAGCGUUAAGUAGCGAAGCUGCCUAUUUUUCACACCCUCGCUUCUCUAAAAGUGGCCCAGCCUGUCACAGUAAGAAACACUUUCAACACAGUCAUCACUUCUCAUGAUGAGACGUAUGCAAACAAGUUCUCACACUGUGCAAAGCACACAGUUUCUAUUUUUAUGUAACACAGCAGGUAUUGCAUAUUUCGCUGUCCAUGUGAUUAAACAAAACAAAAAGUGCUUGAUAAUGUGUAUUUUCAUUCAGAGUGAAGUUAAAAAUAGACAAAUAUGAGUCAGAUUUAAAAGCCUGAACUGUAACAUGCAAAUCCUGUUGUACCACAGACUCAUGA